rnacentral:lncRNA from 1 species
CUCAAAGGACCCCCUCACUCACAUGUCUGGUGUUGUUUCUGGCUGUUGGCUGGAAUUUCAUCUGGGACAUAUGUCAUCUAGAGCAUAUGUCUGUGGCCUCACUAGGUGGCUUGGGUUUCCUCACAGCAUGGUAGCUGCAUCCAAGAGGAGGUUUCGAGCACCCUGGUUCUCCCAGAGAUGGGGACAGAUUUCCACAAAUAGGGACACAGCAGACAAAAGGCAGAGACUGUCCCAGGCAAAGCUCCUCCCCAGGAGGGUUCAUCACCAGAGGAGGGUUUACCUUGAAAGCAAUGAAGGAAACUGAAAAUUCAGGAACUCCCUCCCCCUUACCGAGC